GCUGGCCUUUUCUCGCUAUCGUUUCUUGCGCCAGCUUACGUUAAUAGAAAUGCAUCUGGUUGUGUCGGCACUGUCUCCUAUCCGUCAAGUAUUCGCUUACGUUUGCGUAGAUGUUCGUGUUUUCUUGUUUCGCGAAAGACAACUAGCCUAGUAUAAAACAGGACAGCACUAUAAAGCAGACUUUUUUAAGUUUGCAUGCAAGCGGAAACUGGGAUUCAUGAUUUACCUCCGCGGCUUAUAACCAAUCAACGAABUUCCAAAAUAUGAUAUUCAAACUAUUGAAAUCGUGCGAAAUAUCACGAAUUUAUCAAAAACAACAAGAACAUCAACAGGUGGCUCAUGGCAACGUUAUUACAGUUGUCAUAACAACGGCACCUGUUACGUCAUUUACAUCACAUUACCCGCCGUAGCUCACCCGUCAGUGGAAAUUGUAAAUUUUUCCAUCCUCCAUUUUAGGAACUCAAAUUUACGUGAAAAAAAACGAUCUUAGAUAUCUUUUAUUGCAAAAUGAGUAGCUUAAAUGAUUUAGCAAAAUGGGUAUACAUUGUACUAAAGACAUUGUACUAACGUUAUCGAGAUGGCGUUAAAUAAUUAAUCAUUGAAAUAUAGUGUUAUAUAAAAUAAAUUGGUCCCGAUACAAUAGACAUAAAGGAAUUAGCUAUAGAAUAGUAACGGAGAAAGCGUUCAGGUCGUUCUGACCGUGAACUCUGGUUCCUUACUUCAAAAUGCCUGGGUUUACAUCGAUAAUUAUACUAUCCACAUUGACUUCACUGUCUCAUGGACACAUCUUUGACUCUAUGGACCAUAUGAGAGAAUUGGUUAGACUAGAACAUGACUUAGAACAAAGCCUAAACGAUUAUAUUCAAUCGACUGGUGAUUCGUUUGGGCAAAUCAAAGACUUCGCUGAUCUUGUUGAAAAUCAAACAAAGAUCGUCAAAAUUCAAGGCAAUAAAUACUUAGACAGUCCUAUCAACGCCUAUGCUAUUAUCAAACGGUUUACGGAUGGAUGGAAUCGUCUAUCUWCUAUCGUGAAAACAGGACAACAUUACGAAGAUUUAAUGAAACUUUUAACCAAAAGUAACGCUAGCAUCCCUUCAAAUGACAACGAAGACAUUUAYGGUGCUUUAACCGCCAUUUUGAGRCURCAAAAGACUUAUAAUCUYAGUACAAAGUCCCUCGUCAAAGGGAUUAUACCMGGUUGCCAGGCGACCACACCKCUGACUGCYGAUGACUGCUUUGAUUUCGGGUCAGCAGCUUACAAAUUGAGACAAUUUAGUCGGUCACGUGAGUGGCUGGAGCAAGGAAUAAAAAUGGCGCGUAGGCCUGGGUAUGAUGGCGAUGUAUCGUUACAGAGUCUACUGGAAUACCUCGCAUGGGUGGAAUUCGUGACUGGUUAUACAGAGAAAGCACUUAACAUCACUAAAGAGCUCAUCCAUUUGGCUCCAAAUGUGUUUAAAUAUCAAAGCAACGAGAUGCAUUACCAGCAAAUUGUCGAGCGCGAGUUUCCGCUGACCGAGGAACAAGUCGAUGCACAAAAAGAACACGACGAAACACAAGCAUUCAUGAAUUCAACGUACGCAAGACUAUGYCAAGGAAAACCCGUUGAUUUCAAUGUUACAGUACAAGACAAAAGUCAAUUUAAAUGUUGGUAUGAAAGACGUAGUGAUCCAAGACUCCUCCUAAAACCAAUCAAGCUUGAAAUGAUAAGCUCAAAGCCAGAAAUUUACAUAUUUAGAGACUUCAUUAAAGAUUAUGAGUCUAAUAUCAUUACAUCCAUCGCAGGACCUAUGUUAAAAAGAGCAACAGUAUUCAACUCAACAUCUCAAAAACUCGAUUAUGCUGGAUAUAGAGUAGCAAARAGGGUGUCUUUCAAAAGGGCAGGCCACUGGCAUGGGGAGGAGCACAAUUUUGAUGUAGUACAAAUCUUGAUUCGUAAUAGACUUCUGAACCUUUUACGUCACUACUUGAUUUUCAAUGCAUUGUGGGAUCAGUUUCUAGAGAAAAUAAAAGCAAACCGCCAUUUUUCUACAAUGCAUUGCGUAUACGGUACAUGACGUAAAAGCUUCAAAGGUCUACUCCGAAUGACCAAGAAUCGCCCGAGGAAAAACAACCAACAACAAAGCCAUCGCCGCCAUGUUGGAUGAUGAACAAAAGAUAAGUUCCUUCCAUGGUUUAUCUAACAUGAUGAAUAUGGCUKAGAUUAUACAUCAGCGGUUUUAUGGGAUAUUGGAGAACAAUAAUUCUUCUWUUUCUUUCCAGUGCGUGGCUAGAUGAUCACAUGCACGARGUCAUCAAAAGGGUUAAUGUAAGAGCAUCACUUAUGACAGGACUUGAUCAAGAAUGCGCUGAGAAACUCCAGAUUGGUAAUUACGGAAUGGGUGGACAUUACGAGACGCAUUUUGAUUAUGG